AUUACAGCCAGAGACUGUAAAAACAGAAUUUAUUGAAAUCAUGAACAUACAUAUACAGGUUUGUGAAACAAAAUCCCAUUACUUUCCCAAAACCUUGAGAGUAUAUUUAGUUUUCCAAAAGUUUUCCAAGCCUGGAAAUUGCUAUUUGUAAAUUCUGUGACUUUUCCAGUUUUUUCAUGACUGCACAAACCCUGAUAUACUGUAUUUAUUGUAUCGGUGAAGACAGGAAAUGUCUUGUGAAACAAAGAAGGGACGUUUUGAGAGUAACAGGAGUCCAGAUUGCACUUUGAAUUACAAACGCACAUAAUCCUGCACUUUGAAACCCACAAAAUCUCUGAAUACCUGAUCAAUAACGAGCUGCAUGUGGGUGUUGUAUAUCAGAAAAUGUAUAUAUAGCCUAUUAUAUAUAGCUAUUGUAUAUUUGGGAUCUUUUCGUGUACAGUUUUGUGGCGUUAUCAGAUUGUAUUGUGAACAUGUGCAUUGGACUUUUUCCAGUCCGCUUAUGUAAGCUACGUUCAAUGUUGGGUUUUGGUUCUCAAGGACGAUUUUAUCUGGCUAUUCUGUGAAUAGUUGGUAUUUAUCAGGAUUUCAGGAGCUCCGUGCUGCAGCUCGUGAGCUUAACAGUGGGGUUUUGUUUGCAUUUUUUGUCAUUUGGCUCCUUUUCAAGCUGCAAAGUCCACUCCUUCAUGAUUGUCCUCGGGAGGCUUUUUUGUUACGUUUCUUGUGAAAUUCAAUCACUCAUGAAGGAAUGGAAACGUGACGCUUUUGUCUGCCUGAAAACGACUGCUGGUCAGUAUUUGACGUGCUGUGCUUUAUCACCGUGUGUCCUGUCGUGUCGUGUGCACUCAUGUGUGUGUUGCCUUCCGCCCUGCUGAGAUGCCCGGCUGGUCUCAACUGCUUGUGCAGUGUGCCACCUGCUGCAGACUGAGAGGUGAUGAAACCUACCACGACAUCUUCAGAGACUUCUCGCACAUGGCCUCAAACAACCCCGAGAAGCUCAAACGCCGCAGUGCAGACCCCAAAACUUAACCAGCCGUUGCCUCCUCUCCCCCCCCGCUGUACAACGCCACAUUUCACCCUGCAGCCGUGCACACUCUCACACACAUACACACAAAAACAUGUCCGACUUACACAUUUUCUCUGGCUACCUGCCACAUGUUCAGUCAUAGCUCAGCUGGUGUUGACUUCAGAGGGGAUGAACGCUGCACACAGUGAAUUCUUUGUGCGAACACGUCAGAGCAGAACAAUCGCAUCCAAGUGGGAACACUGGAGCCGCUUUAUGAGCCCAGCAGGAGGUGUCUUUAUGUGGAGCAGAGGGUAACACCAUCACUCUGCCAAGAUUUCUUAAUUAAAUGCAGUAAAUCUGUUUUUUUUAAUAAACAGGCAGUUUUUUUUAUUUUCCUCUGCCAUUUCUAUUGAAUUUUUACAUUUAAAAAAAAGUGUUGGAAACAAUUGUUGCAAAGAGUAAAAUUUUAUGUCGUGGAAAUGUAUACAGAUUUUUACAUUUGGGACAUUUUUUACACACGUGUUAAACUGUGUGAGGUACUUGAGAUUUGCAUCAUGAUCAAAUAAACUGCGAUACAAAACCCAAUUUUAAGUGUGUGUAAAAAUGAUUUCAUGUCUAGAUGAUCAAGAAAAACAAUUCUACAUUAUUUACGCAAAAAAACCCUGAGAUUAAAGAUGUAAAUUUACAAGAAAAAUUUUUUUUUUUUCAAGAUUGAGGUCAUGAAUUCACAAUGAAAAACAAGUUGUAUAUUAACAAGACAAAAUUUAAGAUCUCCCACAUUAUUUUACUGUUGUGAGUGGCAUCCCCAGCAGGGGGCGCCAUCAUUUUGUGCAGUUUAUCAAUACAAAGUUGCUUACAAGCACUUCCCAAGAGGCACAAACUACUGAAAAUGAAGCAAAUUUAAAACAGAAUACAGCGCCUUUAAUCAACAGUGAAUAAAAAAAAUGGGAUAAAAAUCACAUUUAACCAUUAACAGUGUCAGGUUGCAGUCUUUACAUUUGAGCAGUAAUUUUAUUGAAUAAAAAUCAUGUUUAGUUAUAUUUUAGUUAUAUAACAAAAAUGUGCUGGUAGUAGUAUUUGCAUCUUUACUAUAAGGACAAUGGCCUUGACAUCCUGACUUUAUCCAUGUUUAAUGCAGAAAAUAUUCGGGGCUGAAGCUUUGGGCACUCAUGCCAAACGAGGCCACUGCCAACGUCGUUUCUGAGAUUUUGGCAGUACAUCCUGCAAUAUUUGAGAUAAGCCUUUUGUGUUCAUAGAAAAUGAUCUUUUAUUUCAUCUCAGGACAAGUGAGAGCAAAACCAGAAGCAUUUAUGCUUUUGUUCGGUGUAUAUAGUUAUAAAUCACAUGUCAGCAGGUCACAGUGAGCUGCAGACCUGCCGUUCAUUCAGAUGUCGUCAGAGCCAAACACCUGUGAUUUACAAAGACAGUUUAUGGUUUACAGAAAAUGCUCCUGCAAGCACUGAUUGUUUUAUCAGAAAUUGCACUUGAAAAAUCACAGUCUUGUAUUUGAUGCUGCAGUGGUUGAUAAAGUGAAAGUCUUGAGGCUGAAGCAGAGCUGCUAGAAACAGUGCUGAAGUCUGCCGCUCUUUCAAAGACAUUAAUGUGCU